GACGAACGCUGGCGGCGUGCUUAACACAUGCAAGUCGAACGGAAAGGCCUCUUUCGGGGGGUACUCGAGUGGCGAACGGGUGAGUAACACGUGAGUAACCUGCCCUUGACUUUGGGAUAACUUCAGGAAACUGGGGCUAAUACCGGAUAGGAGCUCCUGCUGCAUGGUGGGGGUUGGAAAGUUUCGGCGGUUGGGGAUGGACUCGCGGCUUAUCAGCUUGUUGGUGGGGUAGUGGCUUACCAAGGCUUUGACGGGUAGCCGGCCUGAGAGGGUGACCGGCCACAUUGGGACUGAGAUACGGCCCAGACUCCUACGGGGGGCAGCAGUGGGGAAUAUUGCACAAGGGGUGGAAGCCUGAUGCAGCAACGCCGUGGGCGGGAGGACGGCCUUCGGGUUGUAAACCGCUUUCGCUCAUGACGAAGCUUUGUGUGACGGUAGUGGGUAAAGAAGCACCGGCUAACUACGUG
rnacentral:rRNA from 1 species